AGAGUUUGAUCCUGGCUCAGAGUGAACGCUGGCGGCAGGCCUAACACAUGCAAGUCGAACGGCAGCACAGCAGUAGCAAUACUGUGGGUGGCGAGUGGCGGACGGGUGAGGAAUACAUGGGAAUCUGCCCUGUCGUGGGGGAUAACGUAGGGAAACUUACGCUAAUACCGCAUACGACCGGAAGGUGAAAGCGGCGGACCGCAAGGCGUCGCGCGACUGGAUGAGCCCAUGUCGGAUUAGCUAGUUGGCGGGGUAAAGGCCCACCAAGGCGACGAUCCGUAGCUGGUCUGAGAGGAUGAUCAGCCACACUGGAACUGAGACACGGUCCAGACUCCUACGGGAGGCAGCAGUGGGGAAUUUUGGACAAUGGGGGAAACCCUGAUCCAGCCAUCCCGCGUGUGCGAUGAAGGCCUUCGGGUUGUAAAGCACUUUUGGCAGGGAAGAAACAGGUUUGGCUAAUAUCCAGACCGAAUGACGGUACCUGCAGAAUAAGCACCGGCUAACUACGUGCCAGCCGCCGCGGUAAUAC
rnacentral:rRNA from 1 species